rnacentral:rRNA from 1 species
UAGGGAAUAUUGGACAAUGGGGGCAACCCUGAUCCAGCAAUGCCGCGUGAGUGAUGAAGGCCUUAGGGUUGUAAAGCUCUUUUCCCCGAGAUGAUAAUGACAGUAUCGGGAGAAUAAGCUUCGGCUAACUCCGUGCCAGCAGCCGCGGUAAUACGGAGGGAGCUAGCGUUGUUCGGAAUUACUGGGCGUAAAGCGCACGUAGGCGGCGAUUUAAGUCAGAGGUGAAAGCCCGGGGCUCAACCCCGGAACUGCCUUUGAGACUGGAUUGCUUGAAUCCUGGAGAGGUGAGUGGAAUUCCGAGUGUAGAGGUGAAAUUCGUAGAUAUUCGGAAGAACACCAGUGGCGAAGGCGGCUCACUGGACAGGUAUUGACGCUGAGGUGCGAAAGCGUGGGGAGCAAACA